GUAAUAGCUCACUAGUCGAGAGGUCCUGCGCCGAAAAUGUCCGGGGCUAAAACACGACACCGAAGCUUAGGACUCCAUUUAGGAGUGGUAGAGGAGCAUUGUUAGCGCAGCGAAGCUGUACCGAUAAGGAGCAGUGGAGUGCUAAGAAGAGAGAAUGCCGGAAUGAGUAGCGAGAGGAAGGUGAGAAUCCUUCCGGCCGAAUAUCCAAGGUUUCCAGAGUAAAGCUGAUCUGCUCUGGGUAAGUCGGGGCCUAAGGCGAGGUCGAAAGACGUAGUCGAUGGAUAACAGGUGGAGAUUCCUGUACUAUGUGUACCCAGAACUGUGGGGACGCAUGUGGAGAGCACGAGCCGGGAAAGAGAAAACCGGUACAAGCGGGGUAGGAGUAAGGACAGCAAAUCUUCCUUACAAUCCGAAGACGUAAUGUGGACCGAACCAAAGUAGGGAAGCGUGUGAGCCAUGUGCCAAGAAAAGCCGCUAUUGUGAUACACAUACCCGUACCGUAAACCGACACAGGUGGAUGAGGAGAGAAUCCUAAGGCCGACGGAAGAAGCAUUGUUAAGGAACUCGGCAAAAUGACCCCGUAACUUCGGGAGAAGGGGUGCCCUGUGAAAGCAGGGCCGCAGAGAAUAGGCUCAAGCAACUGUUUAGCAAAAACACAGGUCUAUGCGAAACCGAAAGGUGAGGUAUAUGGGCUGACGCCUGCCCGGUGCUGGAAGGUUAAGAGGAGAAGUCAGGCAACGAAGCUUCGAAUUUAAGCCCCAGUAAACGGCGGCCGUAACUAUAACGGUCCUAAGGUAGCGAAAUUCCUUGUCGGGUAAGUUCCGACCCGCACGAAAGGCGUAAUGAUUUGAGCACUGUCUCGACAAUGCAUCCGGUGAAAUUGAAGUACCAGUGAAGAUGCUGGUUACCUGCGCCAGGACGGAAAGACCCCAUGGAGCUUUACUCCAGCUUGAUACUGGGAUUCGAUACUGUAUGUACAGGAUAGGUGGGAGACGUUGAGCAUAGAACGCCAGUUUUAUGUGAGUCGCUGUUGGGAUACCACCCUUGCAGUAUUGGAUUUCUAACCUGCACCCAUGACCUGGGUGGGGGACAAUGUCUGGCGGGGAGUUUGACUGGGGCGGUCGCCUCCGAAAGGGUAUCGGAGGCGCUCAAAGGUUCCCUCAGAAUGGUUGGAAACCAU
rnacentral:rRNA from 1 species